rnacentral:misc_RNA from 1 species
GUUAUUUUUUAUCAUAUAUGGCCGGCGAAAAUCCUCGGACUGAACCCUCCGCGAGGGUGCCGGCUGGAAAUGGGCACUACAGAGCAAUCCCGUGCGAUGUCGGGAGGGUGUCCAGCUAAGAUCAGAGAUCAGUGCUGUGUGCUUAUGCGUUUUCAUCGCUAUGCCAUACGGAAAUGGUCUUUGAUCGUGGUCUGGAGGUAGGGGCUGGAUCAAGGCGUUACGCGUACCGUACUGAGGAUCAGCCUGGCUGGGAGCCCCUAAAUAGCCCAGUCGCUAACGGAGCCCUCUGGGAACCAGGCCGCACCCGGUUGCAUUCGAUGGCUUUACCCUGGGUACUGCGGAUCUCUGCCCGGGGCCGACGAACCCUUUCUCCGCGACUCGUUGGAAUAUGAGCGAUUUAAAAAAUAAACUAAAAUCAACAACAACGGAAAUUGAGACCGGCACUCAUAAAAAGUCGGAAGGGCAGUUGCCCAGACACCAUGGGGCCCAUGCGAUGCAGGGUCCCUCUACUAGCCACGACGUGGCCAACACUAGUGGGGUACGUAAGCCUCUGGCGAUGCCGGGGUCAGGCGUAUCCACAAAAGCGGAAAGGAAGAGGGUGGGGGAACCGAAACGGGAUUUUCCCGGCACCAGUGAAGGCAAACCUGGCUUGCAGCUUGCAGCCCCAGAGGGCGCCAGAGCUGAUGCGCGGGCCCCGCCUCCCCCUACUCCUACUGCAUUCACAAGGCCUGAUGACAGGCCACCACCAAGCGCAGCCAUUGCUAAGCACAGGAAGGCUGCCAUGAGGAUCUUGAAGAGAUCCACAUUAACACCGGACCUAUGUAGCAGGGCGCUGCCCUGUCACGUGGAAGAGAUCCGGUCGGAGAUAGCGUGGGCAAUGACGAUAGUGCCCGACUAUCAGCUGCCGGUGCUCGGAGAGCCACCAGCUGCGGAAAAGCGCAAUAGAUCGAUAGAGGUUGCGCAAAACAAGUCGAAGAGAGCCAGGACGCAAGGCCUCACCUUUGCUGAGGUGGCCAAAAAUCGGAUCCUCCUGGGUGUGCUCGAUGAGAACCAGGAAGACGAAUUGGCUCUGAGAGCUCAUUGGAAAUGGGUUAAAGCGGAAUUGGCGAACAUCUGCGUUAGCGUGCUUCGGGAGCACCCCGGACCACCUCCGAUAUGCCGGGACGCAGGUUGGUUCCAAGGCAACGUCAAGAUCGUCGCGUGCGACGAUGAAAGGUCUGCGGGCAUGUACAAGAAGGCGAUGGCCAUACUGGGAGAGGUCUACCCCGGAGCGAUGCUACGGGCUGUGGACUUUAAGGACAUCCCAUCCAGGCCUAGAGCAAGGGCAUGGAUACCGGCCAAACCGACCGAACCAGAAAGAGUGCUUGAGAUUACAAGGCUCUUUAAUCCCGAGUUACCCUCUCACAAUUGGAAGGUGGUGCGGCUAGAGCAUAGCACAAAGGCGACUCGUCAGGCGGUCCUUUUGCCAAAUAAGGAGUCGUUGCCACUCCUCGAAAAGACUGGGGGCGUCAUCAAUUACGGUUUCGACACCGUAAAGAUAAGGGUGUACACGAACGACGUGAACGCAGCAAGAGGCAACGAAGUCCAGCUCUCCAAGGGGGCAGCAGACAUCGCCCUCAUCCAGGAGCCUUGGGUGAUAGGGCAUAGAAUAUGCGGGCUGAAGUCGGCAGAGCACACUUUGAUAAGUGGAGCUACCAUAGGUAAACCAAGGGCCUGCAUCCUUGUAAGUACCAAACUAAAAAUAUUGUUUCUUCCUCAGUUCAGUGACGAGGACACCACCACCAUCAGUCUGGAGGCGAACGGACGACAAAUAAGGCUUGCCUCGAUGUAUCUGGCACAUGACAGGCCUGUUCCAACCCUACCGGUCGAACAUUUAGUGGAGCGCUGGGACGGGGCCCUGAUUCUAGGAGGUGAUGCAAAUGCACACCAUAGCACAUGGGGAAGUGGAGACAUCAAUGAACGGGGUGAGUCACUCUUUGAAUUCAUACUAAAAUCUAACUUAGUUAUAAGCAAUAGGGGUAGCGAGCCUACCUUCAUAACGAAGAGCAGAAUAGAGGUCCUGGAUGUUACCCUCGUCUCAGAAGAUGCGGAGGUCAUGAUCAGGAACUGGAGGGUGCUUGAUGAGCAUUCCUUCUCUGAUCAUCGCUUCAUCCAAUUCGAUUUAGAUGGGGUCCUGCCAAAAGAAAUCUAAGGAAAGCCGACUGGCAUAAGUACAGAAAAGAGCUUGACAAGCGGCUCUCAAGAACCACACUAGCAAUUCCAGGAAACUCUAGGGACCUAGAUAGGCUGGCAAAUCGCUUUACUGCGGCAUGUGGCAAGGCUCUGGAUCAGGCCUGCCCCAUGGUAAAGCCGAGAGGCAAAAAGAAACCACCUUGGUGGAGUACAGAGAUUGACGAGGCCCGCAAAAAUUGUCGUAGAGCCUUCAAUCUCGCAAAAUCCUCGGGAGGCGAUAUGCAAUGGGAAAUCCAUAAGUUAAACUUGAAAGAUUACAAGAAACUACUAAGGAAGAGCAAGAGAUCCUCAUGGAGGAACUUUUGCAGUGGUAUGGAAUCCGUAUCAGAAGGGGGGGAGGCUCCAAGGUCAUAGCGUAUGCUGACGACCUUGCGGUGGUUGUGAGUGGAAAAUUUCCACAAACUCUUUGUGACAUUAUGCAGGACAGACUAAGGUUAAUCGAGAGAUGGACCAAGGAGAAAGGUCUGGGUGUUAACCCAGAAAAAACGGACCUGGUGCUCUUUACCAGGAAGUACAAAAUCCCCUCACUUCAGCUCCCUGCCAUAGGCAAUAAGAUUCUGAAGCUAGGGGAGUCUGCAAAAUAUCUAG